UAAAAAGUGAUGUGUUCAUGUGAGUGGAAGGGCAGCGGCGGGGCUCUCUGUUUGUGCAGAGUGGCAGUUGCGAAAUUGCAGGCGCGGCUUUGGCUAUAUUCCAUCCAGGACAAAAUUUUCUAGGUCGCAACUAUACUUCGGGACCAAGUCUAGCUCAGACUGGCCCAGUGUCAUACACUGUUCUAACAUCUGACAAGCUUAUCUGGAGGCGACAUUUGGACCAGCUGUUGCUGGGAUCUUGUGUUAGUGGACUUUCAACAGAGGGUCCUCCUACUCCGCCAGAGACUGAAAGCUUUCCAAAGUUGCAAAACAACCAACCUGGUCCAGGGUUUCGGUUUCAGAGUCCUUGUCAUGCACAAAACACCGUUAUUCCUCUAGGGAGAGACGACCGUCUAAAAGGCUUGAUUGAUAGGCAAUGAUCCAAAACUAUAGUCACUGAGCACAAAACAAAGCUUCUGCCAUUACAAUCCCAGUCCCCUGACCUGAACCCUAAAGAAAGUGAGUGGGAUGAACUGAAGAGAAGCAGCACAAACAUGGAGCUGGAAUCUGAAGGAUCAGGAGAGAUUCUGCAUGAAGGAAUGUUCUCUGAUCUCUUGCCAGGUGUUCUCCAAACUCAUCAGGCAUUAUAGGUGAAGACUCAAAGCUGUUCUCUUGGGAAAAGGAGGUUGCAAAAAGAAUUGAAUAAAAUGGUAUGAUUAAUUGUGAGCAGUGUGUAUUAGAGAAUAAUAUUUCUCUCAUAAUGAAAUUUUCCCCCAUUUUAAAAGAAUUAUGUUCCAAUGAAAGGUUGGAUUUUUGCAGAUUUUUAAAAUUAAAGAUCAAAAGUAUUAACGAUGCA